AGAAGAAUGCUGAGAGAGAGAUAGAAAGCUGGGCAGCAUGUGUGUACUGUAUGUUUGUGAGAUAAAGAAGGAAAAACCUGCGUGUAGAAAAGGAAAGAAAACGUUUCUCAUCGUCUCAUGUUUUCUCGUGGACUUUUUGAACCAAGUAGUAUGUUAUAUAACCCAAUUAACGACCACCAGUUUUCCACAAACCAAUCACUAAAUCCUGUUUUCCAGCCUUGACUGAUUAGCACUUUUCUUAACAACCAAUCACUGAUCCCCAUUUCCCCCAUUGUUCCUAUCAGACAAUCUAUUUUCCCAAUAUCCAAUUACCAAUCCCUGUUGGCCACAGUUUGUCGUGCCUAUGCUUUUCAAUCCUAAUUUUAAACUCUCAGCAUCCUAGUUUUUACUUGUUGCUUAAACUGUGUUUAUACUCAAUGCUACACAUCUGACAUGUGACAGUAACCCCCUUGCUUUUAACAGAAAAUACUUUUUUAGAUGAGUAGAAAUACACUAUAUGGACAACCUCAUUUUUCCAUCCAUAUGUGGUUUUCCCCCAAGCAAUUGUAUAUUUCUGUAUGUCUUCAGAUGUCCUAGCAUAAAAUCUUCAGACCCAAACCUGUUCCAGCAUGACCAUGUCUGUGCACAAAGCCAGCUCCAUGAAGAUAUGCUUUACAUAGGUCAGAGUCGAAGAUGUAGAGGAGUGGCCUGCUAUAGAUAUAUAUAACUGUAAUACCUACCACAUCACAGGCCUUAACACUAACGCAACAGUAAAUGAGCACAAAUCCUAACAAAAUCUAGGGGAAGAUCUUCCCAAAAGACUGGAGUUUAUUAUAACAGCAAAUGGGGACUGAAUGUGGAAUACAGUAUACUUACCAGUCAUCUUAAAGCAAGCCAUUGUUUGUUGAUCCCAACGAAAAACCGGCUGCAGCUAAUUCACGCUGGGCCUGACCGUGCCUCUUCGCAUUCUAUUCCUUUAUAACAGGCCCUCGUUCAUCACAGCGGAAACGGAUCAGCUUAAACGCCUAUUCAAACGAGAUGACCAAUUUGAUUUGUAUGUUCCUGCCAUUCUUUUUCAAAAUGGAUAUGGCCCUUACUGGGGAGUAAUUAUUUCCCUGAGACAGCAUGCCUGCAAAGCGUUUUAUUGCUCGCUCGUUAGCUUGAUCACCUUUAAAUUGAGAAACGUUGGCAGACAGCAUCGAAGAGGACAACGCCAUUCACUCGUAACCAUAUAUACAGUUUAUUUCUACACGUAAACAUGACAUUCGUGUGUGCAAUAUACAUUUACUUCACAUACAGCCAACAGAUAUAGAUAACUAUGAGAAAUAAAGAACACAAGGUUGAGAAAGCAGGACGGGUGCCUCAUAAUGGACCGAUGACCAGGAUAAGAAUGAUGGAUGGAUAAUGGAUACACGGAUGGAUGAUGGCAUACACAUACAGCUGGAGAGUUUCUCCUUUGUCUUCAGUCUUUGACUGAUCCUGGUUCAGCAGGAAGUCCCUCUGCUUUUCUCCACUGAGCGUUACGCAUCUUGAACCAUUUCUACAGGACAAAGGGAGAGCGAGAGAAUGUUUUAUGACUGGAACAUGCUUCAAGACUUUGGAAAACUGGAAAAGAAACAGUGAUAUCGGAAACUGCUUUUAAUAAAUAAAAUAAAAAAACCUCCAGACGUUAACAAUUUAC